rnacentral:rRNA from 1 species
GGUAACAAUAAUUGUUUCAUAUGAUUUCUCACGAAGACGAAUGAGCUAGCCAAUAUAUUAUAUUGGAUAUUAUGCUGAGCGUGGCAAAGCUCACGGAGUAAUUUUGGCUAGGAGUGAUAGGCUAAUCAAAUUCUUUGAUAUCUUGAUGCGUAAAAAAUAUAUUCAGUAUAUUAAACAUACUAUAAAAGUUAAGCUUUAUAGUAUAUAUAAUUUGUAUUAAAUUUGCUUUGCGGAUUAAUUACCAACAAUCAGCCAGCUUAUUAUUUAUUAUAUAUAAAUAUACAUAGUAUUACGUGGUACUAAUAUAAUUCAUAGUAACCAUUAUGUUACCAUAAGUAAUUCUAGAAACCCUUCUAGAGGACUCGGCAAAAUACCUUUCACCUGUUUAUCAAAAACAUCGCUGUAUGAGACUAACAUACAGUUUUUUCUGCUCGGUGGUAUCUUAACAGCCGCAGUACUCUGACUGUGCAAAGGUAGCAUAAUCAAUUGGCCUUUAACUGAGGUCUGGGAUGAACGAAUAUAUGGGGGGUUGCUGUCUCAAUGGGGUUACUUGAAAUUAGUGCGAAAGUGCAAAUACUUUCAAGUCUAAAAUAGACGAGAAGACCCUAGAAACUUGUUUGUUACUUUUGCUGGGGCGGCAGAAUUACAUCUAAACUAAUUUUAAUUUACGUGACGUAUAACUGUGAGUCUAAGUUACUCUAGGGAUAACAGCAUAAUUCUAUUUAUUUGUGACCUCGAUGUUGGACUAGGUUUAGCAACCCCUAAAAGGGGUUGCUAAUUGCUCUGUUCGAGCAUAUAACACCUACAUGAUCUGAGUUCAGACCGG